rnacentral:lncRNA from 1 species
UUUUUAGAUAACUGUUUUACAUUUGUGUGUGUGUGUGUGUGUGUGUGUGUGUGUGUGUGUGUGUGUGUGUGUGUGUGUGUAAGAAUUGGAACAACUUGGAGGAGUCCGUUCUCUACUGUGGGGAUCCCAUCAGGGUCAUCAGCUAGAGCUCCUCACUCACCUGCUCGCUGAGCCUCUUCACUGGUUUAUCAUAGCUUCAUGAUCUUUAAAACCUUAGCACUGAAGAACAUACCCAUCAUUCUGAUGGUGUUUGAAAAUGGUCUGUAUGCUUUUGGACAUAUUUUAUGUUUCUAAUUUUAGGCUAUGGAGUUACUGGUAGAGAAAGCAAUUAGCAGUGCUUCUAGUCCUCAAAGCCCUGGAGAUGCCCUGAGAAGAGUAUUUGAGUGCAUUUCUUCAGGGAUUAUUCUCAAAGGCAGCCCUGGACUUCUGGAUCCUUGUGAAAAGGAUCCCUUUGAUACUUUGGCAACAAUGACUGACCAACAGCGUGAAGACAUUACAUCC